rnacentral:rRNA from 1 species
GAUGAACGCUGGCGGCGUGCCUAAUACAUGCAAGUCGAGCGAACGGACGAGAAGCUUGCUUCUCUGAUGUUAGCGGCGGACGGGUGAGUAACACGUGGAUAACCUACCUAUAAGACUGGGAUAACUUCGGGAAACCGGAGCUAAUACCGGAUAAUAUUUUGAACCGCAUGGUUCAAAAGUGAAAGACGGUCUUGCGGUCACUUAUAGAUGGAUCCGCGCUGCAUUAGCUAGUUGGUAAGGUAACGGCUUACCAAGGCAACGAUGCAUAGCCGACCUGAGAGGGGGAUCGGCCACACUGGAGCGGAGACACGGUCCAGACUCCUACGGGAGGCAGCAGAAGGGAAUCGGCCGCAAUGGGCGAAAGCAUGACGGAGCAACGCCGCGUGAGUGAUGAAGGUCUUCGGAUCGUAAAACUCUGUUAUGAGGGAAGAACAUAUGUGUAAGUAACUGUGCACAUCUUGACGGUACCUAAUCAGAAAGCCACGGCUAACUACGUG